UUUUUUUUUUUUUUUUUUUGUCUUUUUCAGGACUGCACUUGUGGCAUAUGGGGAUUCCCAGGCUAGGGGUCCAAUCGGAGCUGGAGCUGCUGGCUUACACCACAGCCACAGCAACAUGGGAUCCGAGCCAUGUCUGCAACCUACACCACAGCUCACGGCAACGCCGGAUCCUUAACCCACUGAGGGUGAGGCCAGGGAUUGAACCCACAACCUCAUGGUUCCUAGUCAGAUUCGUUGACUACUGUGCCACAACGGGAACUCCUGUUUUCUUUUUUUUUGACCAAGGAAAGAAUGCAUUACACAUUCUUCUUUUUUUUUUUUUAUGCAUUACACAUUGUUCUGCACCUCAAUUUUUUUUCACUCAACACUGUAUCAAGGCAUUUGUUCCAGAUCAUCACAGUCUUCCACUGCUCUGUACUAGUCCAGUGCAAGCAGGUCCCACCAUUCAUGUCAGUCCUAACUUGUCGACAUCUUGUCUGUUCCCAGUUGUCUGUGGCCAUGAAAGUUUCUCUCUAUGGAUCUUUAUACAUUUACAGGGGCCUAGAUUCCUUGAAGAGUAAUUUCUGAGGCAAAGGGAAUAUGUGCUUUGCAUUUUGAUAGAUAUCAUCCAAUAGUCCUCUAAAAAAUUUUACCAGGUUGGACCAAAAGCCACUUUUAGGUCUUUGCCCAUCUAAAGGAUAAAAAAUAGUAUCUCACUGUAAUUUACGUUUUUAAUUAUGAGAGAUGUUAGCAUCUUUUUCCUGUUUCCAAAUCAUUGUAUUUCUUUUUCCCUUACCUCUCUUCAACAGUGUUUAAGGAGCCCUUGUACAGCUACAUAGGCAAAGUAUCUGGGACCUGUGGAAUUUUCAAGAGCCUGUAAAAAAAGUUUGAGACCUGGGGUGGGGGUGGGGGAUGUAUUGGCUUGCAAAUAUUUUUAAAAGACUAAAAAACUGAACCCAAAAUGGUAUAAUGUAAUCUCAACCAAACAUAAUCUUACGGCAAGCUCAUUAACUGGAAACUGGAAUUCACGAACAUUUCAUUACAUUUUAAAGCAAUCUGUUGGUUUAGAUGUUCUCAUUUCAAAAAAAUCCCAAGAAUGCAUGAUGCUUUUCAAGAAAUUCAAGUCCAUUUUCAUUUAAACGCAUUAACUGUAGUUGAAUAAUUUCACAAUCAUAAUUAAUUGAAAACGCUUUUUAAAAAUUUACCAUAACGUGGGAGUUCCCUGGUGACUGGUUCAGUGGUUAAAGGAUCCAGCGUUGUCACUGCUGUGGUCAGGUCACUGCUGAGGGGCAGAUUCAAUCCCUGGCCUGCCCUGGAACUUCCGCAUGCCGCAGGUGCAGCCAAAAAAAAUAAAGAAUCAUAAAAUGACAUUCAAUGUAGAAUUAGAGUGCAUUUUAAUAUGUUUCAUGUGAUUUGGACGGGGCCUCCCAAAUUAAGUGCAUCAAGGGCCAAAAGUGGUUUUAUUUAAAAGGCCUGUAAACCUCCGAACCAGACAGACAAGGUCUCAGUCUCAGGAAAUUUCUAAUCAAAGAACACGCUGACCUUCUCAGCAAAAGUAGGAACGAGUAAAGUGGAUCAGAUCUGAGUCUGGAGCUCGCUGAGGACCCCUGGCUUCUCUCCCAACCCCCUGACUGUUACAGAGAAAAAACUCUCUCCUGUGUCACACCCAUCCCCAGCCUGGUGACUCAGCGCUGGACAUGGGGAUUUUGGAAAGCUCAGUGGGGUGAUGGAGCGGGGAAAGACGGGGUAGAGGUGAUGCUCUCUCUGCUCUCAGGACCAGCCUGGGGUGGGGGUAGGGAGCAGCAGGACAGACAUAGGGAGGGAAAGAGACAAAUUGUCCCCAGAUGACAUUUUGAGACAGCAGAACAAAAUGUGUUUGGCUCUUCCCUACCCUCUCCCUCUUUUAAAGAGAAAUAGGACUCAGCCCUUGAAAGGGACCAUCUGGGCGUCUAAGUCACAGGUGCGAAGGUUUUAGGACUGGGAGGUGAGCAAUUCAGCACCUCCCCCCUCCUCCCCGUCUGCCUCCCCUCCCCAUCCAGCGGAGGAAAGGCAGGGAGGACCUGGGGGAAGCAGCGCUGGAAUCUCCUGCGUGCCCGCGCGUGCCCGUUCCCCUAGUACUGUCUCUAUUCCCAGCCACUGGGGUGGGAUUUGGCACAAUGACACGCCAUAAAGUCCAAUCUAUCGAACCCAAUUGAAUUGAAAGGCACGGUGGAGUCAGAUGAGGGGUCUGAUUUCCUCCCCCUCAUGUUUGUUCUCAGCCCGCUGUGUGGCCUUGAGCAACGGCUGCCGCCUCUGAGCUGUUUCCGCAUUUGUACAGAGAGCACCAGAAAACUUGGUCUGUGGGGACAUUAUGCAGACCCAGUGAACUGAAAUCGGCAAGGCAUUUAGCUCUGGGCCGGGCCUUUUUAAUUCUUACCCUUUGGCUGCAGUGGUGGGAAAGCAAAUGUUUGCCAGGUAGGGGGAGGUGGGUGGAGCUGAUGGUGGCCCCUCGCCAGCCAGAGAGGACUUUGAGCUUGCCCCGGAGUGCCAGGAGGGAGCCACUGAAGGUUCUGCAGCGAGGGAGGGGGCCAGAUCCUGGGAGGGGCCGGGAUCCUCGGCCCUCACCCAGAUCCAAAACCCCGCCUCUGGUGUUCUCUCUUCCUCCAAUGCACCCCCUCCCACAGCCCAGGGCCACAGCUCUGCUCCCACCAAGACCGAGUCUGGGAGAACAGCAGAGUGAGCCCCAGGACAAAGCCUAACUAAGGCUAUGCCUGAGCCCAGGCUUGAACCCCUACUCUGAGCCCCCCUCACUGGGUGUUUUGGAUUCCUCUGGGCCUCAGCCUUCUCCCUGCAAAGUGAGGCGACAACAGCGACCUCACGGGGUGGUGGGGAUGGUUAGUUGAGAUAAUAUGUAAAAGCACCUGGCGGCAUGCCUGCUGUACAGGUGGAGUUCAGUGUACGGUGCCAUUAACUGAGAAAGCGGACAGGGGAUCCAAAGGGAGAGAAUGAGGAUCAGAGACGGGGAAGAAUGACACACGGGCCCUUUGCCUCUCUGGAUGGUCCACCUGCAGCCAAGGAAAAAGCCCUUUGGGAGGAGGGGGUGAUUGGGGGGGCAGCUAUUGGGUAAGAGAGGAGGUCAUCCCUGGCCCGCUUCCCUCCUCUACUUCUACCUCCCGCCCAGCUUGGUCACCCAGUUUAGGGUGACAGGGCUGGGCAUGGUGGACCAGCAGCAAUCCUCCAGAUUCCAGAACUGGGCCUCCUGCAAAAGGUGGGUGAGGGUGUAAGGUGCUUCCAGGUGAUAAGAGAGCUGCAGGUGUCGGGCCAUGGGAGCUGGGAUUCCCCAUCCAUCACCCAUCAGGGCCCCAAGCCCAGCCCACCAGGCUUAACUGGAAGCCCGAGGCUGCUCCAUUUGCAGUGUGGGUCUGCGUGCGAGAAAGCUGGUAACACUGGCUGAGACCGGUUCACUCUCACCCACAGGCCAGCUGGGCCCUCCCCAGUGGCUGGGCACCUGAGCAGGUGUGUGGGGGGGGGGGGGGGCUACAAGCUGUCACUUCUAAAUAUAGAGCCUGGCAGCCUGGGAGUCAGCCAGGUGCGGCUGCCACAUGGCCCCCCAAACUGGCUGAUACGCCUGUGCCCGCCAGUUCUGGGCCUGCAGAGACACACAUCAAAACUGCCUCGCACAGACCCCCAGGGACCCACGAAUACCCCCAAAGACACACACUCAGCUUGGCACGUACACGUCCCUGUCCUUGUUGAGGCCCCUUAUCCACACACACCCUCUCCCCACACUCAUGCUCUGCAACGCGCACUGACACCGACCGGGCAGCCCCUGCUUGAACAACAGCCUCCUGAGGGUGGCAUCCCCCGUUCUUGUCCACUGCUGUCUCCUCUGCCUGUAACCGUGUCCAGCACACACCAGGUGCCCAGAAACGUUUGCUCUCUGAAUGAAUGCACACACACACUCACACACACACACAUUCUGUAAUAAUUACCCCCACUCUCACCCGAUCCCUGCCCCCCUGUGCUGGGUCUACUAGGCCCUACCAAGGACAAGACCAGAAGGCCUGUCCUCCUCUGGCCUGGCCAAUCCCCCAUAGCCAGAGUCCAAGCCAGGCUGAGGACCUGAGCGGGAGGGUGGAGAGGGCAGCCCAGGGAAAGAAGUAGCUUCGAACCCCUGUUUAGGAGGAUGUGGGAAUCAUUGUUUGCUACAGGACAAACCUCCCUGGAGGAGCCACCGCACCACGCUGGAGUUCUGGGUUGGGCCACAUCCCCAGAAAGCCACCAGGGGAGGGGAACACGUGACCCCUAUAAGGCCCUCCCCAGCCCCCUCCUCUAAAGGAGUGCCCCAUUUUAGGUGAUACCACCCCAUCUAGGAGCCCUCAGCUCUGCCCCCAUAGUGCUUGGGCUGGGCUUCCCACAGCCUGCACAUGGAUGUAACAGAGUGACACUUCAGGGGGAGUUCCCGUUGUAGCUCCGUAGGUUAAGAACCUGAUUAGUAUCCAUGAGGGUACAGGUUCAAUCCCCAGCCUCGCUCAGUUCACAGAUGUGGCUUGGAUCCGGUGUUACUCUGGCUGUGGCUGGCAGGUGCAGCUCCGAUUCAACCCCUAGGCUGGAAACUUCCAUAUGCUAAGGUGUGCCCUAAAAAGAAAAAAAAAAAAAAGGAAAAAAAUAAAAAAGAGUGAUGCCUGGGGACACAGGAGCAGAGGGGGGUGGCAUCUGAGCAUCUCUGACUCCAGGACUGCUGAGGGAGCACCGUGACUGUGCUGGGACCUCACAAUUCCCAUGAGAUGAAGCGGAGGCUGAUUGGGCAGGCUGAGCACCAGGGAUGAGGAGGGGAUGCUGUGACCCCAGAGCGACUGAAGGUCGGGUGAGAUUUAUAGUCAGAGCCUGCAUCAGUAGACUGGAGAAGAAGGUGACUGAGGGGGGCAAGCUGAUAAAGGAGAGGACUAGGGACAGCACUAAGGACAGAUGAGUGGCCAAUGGAUGGACAUAUGCAUAGACUAGCAGAUGGACUGAAAGACACAGGAGCAUGAAUAGACAAAUGGAAAGACAGAAGUGGGUGGCUGGCCACUGGGGUCACUCUCUGAAGCCCCACAAGAGCCUGAAGACCCAGCUACUUCCCCUGCAGACCACUCCCACCCCAGCUCCAUUCCCUGUCUCCUUUCCCAGACCAGGUUCCCAGGGAGGCAGACACCUGCUUGGCCUGAUGCCCAGAGAUGCACUUUCCAGCCAAGUACAAGCCCAGAUAUGGAGUCACCUCCUGGUGUUCUUACCUGUGCAGGUGUGCAUAGGAUGGGGUGGGGUCAGCGCCAUAUCUAUGGGCUAAUACCUCCAAAAAUAGCCUCCCAGCAACUGGGGAGUACCCCAAUCAUGGCUCACGUGCGCACACACACACACACACACACACACAGCCGCUGGCAGAAUCAACCCCAUAGACACUUGAUGCACACACAGGUGCAUUCACUGACACACUGGCACCCAAACACCAGUCCCCCAAACACCACAACUACCAAACUGCAUAGCAACAGAAUGAGCCAACCACAUGGUCUACAAUGUAUGGGGCCACCUGGCCCCUCAGAUACACCCCAACACCAUGCUGUCAUUAAUCUACAAAUGUGCAUUGAACAGCUUCUGGACCCAACCCUAUGGGAUUUCGGAGCACCUUCAAUAGCUCUUCCCAGAGAAAGCUGGACCCACAGGGUCCUUCAUGCUUCACCCUCCAACCCUGCCUCCUACCCUAGCACCUCACAUUUGCCCUCCAUCCAGCAACAUCUGACACCUUAGGGGGGUUCUCUCCUUUUCAUAUGCUUGGAUCCACAUUAUUCCUGCAACUAGGAACCCUUUCCCCAUUUCACUCCUGAACCCCACAUACCAGACCUAUCAUUCAAGACAGAUCUCUGCAUACCUAAAGUUUAACAGUGGGACACACAACAGGGCCUAAAUGUUUGUUGACUGACUGACCAACUUACCAGCUGGGUGAAAUCAUUAGGAAUAUAAAUCAGCUAAGAAUAGUGCAUAAUUAAAGUUCCCAUCAUGGCUCGGUGGUUAACAAACCCGACUAGUAGCCAUGAAGACGCGGGUUCAAUCCCUGGCCUUGCUCAGUGGGUUAAGGAUCCUACGUUGCUGUGAGCUGUGGUGUAGCUCACAGACAUGGCUCGGAUCCCUAGUAGUUGUGGCUGUGGUGCAGGCCGGCAGCUGUAGCUCCAAUUCGACCCCUUAGCCUGGGAACUUCCAUAUGCUGCAGGUAUGGUGCUAAAAAGACCAAAAAAAAAAAAAAAAAAAAAAAUAGUGCCUAAUAGGCUGGUGCGGACUAGCUGCUGUGGAAUUCUAAUCAGAGCAGGGGAGCAACUCUGGGCUGGGGGCUUUGAACCCCACAAGCACACAUUUGUCUCAGCCAUCCCCAUAGAGGGAGGGAGCCCUGCACCCUUGAGCUUCCACUUGCCAUAGAAAAGAUGCACAACUGACCAGUCAGCCAGGCCCAGCCCUCCAACAAGGGCAAGGGAGAUUAUCAGGCCACAGAAGGAGACCUCAAGCUAAAGCCAGGAUCUCCUAACCCCCUGUUCCCUCCACCUACCAACACCUUGGGAAACCCAGGCACUUUUCUAGGGUUUUAUUUAGGGCUGGACAUUCCCAGGGCAGACCCUCUGCCAACUCAGCAGGUCUGGGGACUUGGGAUGUGCUAACGCUGGCAGCCCUUCCACGCCCCAUUUGGGCUCCGUUGGCCAGAUCUCACCCUGGCCUGGGCCUGGGCUGGCACUGAUUGAUUGACUGACAUGGAGUUUCAUUCCUUUAGCAAGGGCCAGUCACACCCGGACAGGGUUCACCGAGUCAGGCUCUUUUCUCAGCACUUUAUUUGUAAUCCCCGCAGGGACCCUACAAGGUAGAUACUAUUCUGAUGCCCACUUCACAGGGGUGGAAACCAAGGCACAGAGAUAGAGGAACCAAUAUACUAAAAUCACAGCAGCCAGGAGUGGCUUGAGGAAUCCGGAUUCAAACCCAGACUGGUUCCACACUUUUAACCACUAUACCAUACUAUGUCUCUUUUUAUAGUUUGUUUUUUUUUUUUUAAAGUAAACAUGAGAUUACUUGGUCCUGGUUGCCUUUGGCACCAGAGGCAUGGACAUGUGACAUUACAGGUCAUUCCCAGCCCUGCCUCUCUCUCUCUCUGGCACACACACGCACACACACACACACACACACACACAGUCUGCCUCAUCCUGGUGCUGCCAGGCACAUUGGUGACCUCCUGGUUCCUCCACAGCCAGGCAUCAGGCCUGUGGGAACACAGUGCUCUCGUAUUUGGAUCCAAGUCUAUUCUGGAACAUACCACCCUAUGCCUCUCCCCUCGGCUGCCACCCUAGUUCCGCCCCUGGGGCCAGCAUUCCUGGAAAGCUCCAAGACAGCUUCUUUCAGGGGAGAUUUUCCACGGGGCCUGUGCAGCCAGAAUUGGCAUAAGCUGAGGAGGGUCCUACCCACAGUCCCUGUCUUGGGGCCAGGAAGCUUGGAGCAUCCCUGGGGUAUCGGGGCCGUUCCUCUUCUCCAUGGCAGAGGCCUUGGCAGAUGGGACACUCGCAGCUCCUUCCCCAUCCUGGUGUGUCCUCUUGGCCUCAGAGGAGUUCGGGUCUCCAGCACUCUUGUCUCAGCUCUGCUCAGUCCCACCCCAUGACCAGGGAGUGUGUUCCUGCGGGGCCCAGCCCUGUGCUGGGUGCUGUGGACCUGCCCCUGGAGGCUCGCCGCUCUGCACGGACAGACGAGCAGCCUGCCCGUGAGCUGCCAGCAACACAGCGCUGCAGCAAAUCCCCAAAGACCUUCCUGGACCUGGGCUCAGGCACCAGGACCUCGUCCUCCUGCUCAGGGACCCCAAGAGCUCGUCCUAUCCUGCGUGGUGACCCCUGGCCCCAGCCCUGGCUGUUGUUUCGGUG
rnacentral:lncRNA from 1 species